rnacentral:lncRNA from 1 species
CCACUUUGCAGGUGAGCAGGUCAGAGGUGCACAGUGACUAGCCCGAGGCCCCACGGGUGGCAAACAGUGAGUCCCAAUUGGAACCCAGCCACCAGCCCCAUCGACAACCCACUCUCUCAGCCACCCACCCUCCCUGCAGAAAUAACAGUGAUGAAUGACCAGAGGUGACAGUCCCAGAAGGAAGGCUGAGAGAACUGAGUCCUCUGCUUCCUCUCCAGGAGACCCAGUUCCUCAGCAGGAAGGAGGCUCCACAUCUGGCUGCUGCCCCCUGAUUGACUGUCCAGGACAGAUCUGCCCAGGACACCAUCUCCCACUGUUUGAUCUUUUGAGCUGAGCAAGCCCCAGGACAGAAGUCUCUUGCAGCCCUGUGCCUCCAUGUAAGAGCUCCAUCUAUCACGAUGCUAUCAUCUGGUGAGGAAGCUAAAGGCAUGCAGAAGGUUCUGGAGGAGAUGCCAUCUGAAGAAAGAGCCAAGAAGCACUAAAAUGCCAAACAGUGAAGAUGUCAUCUUGGAAGGGACCCUCCAGCCCCAAUAUUGCUCCUGGCUGACACCAAGUGGCCCAGCUGAGCCCUUCUCAAAUUCCUGGCCCACAACAUGAUGAACAAAAUAAAAUGGUUGUUUUAA